rnacentral:siRNA from 1 species
AUGAUUGAACAAAAGUUAAUGU